rnacentral:rRNA from 1 species
UACGUAGGGUGCAAGCGUUGUCCGGAAUUAUUGGGCGUAAAGAGCUCGUAGGCGGUUUGUCGCGUCGGCUGUGAAAACCUGGGGCUCAACCCCGGGCCUGCAGCCGAUACGGGCAAACUAGAAUUCGGUAGGGGAGACUGGAAUUCCUGGUGUAGCGGUGAAAUGCGCAGAUAUCAGGAGGAACACCGGUGGCGAAGGCGGCUCUCUAGUACGGUACUGACGCUGAGACGCGAAAGCGUGGGGAGCGAACAGG